rnacentral:tRNA from 1 species
GGGCUGGUGGUGCAAUGGUAGCAUACUGCCUUCGCAAGGCAGCAAUGUGAGUUCGACUCUCAUCCAGUCCA